rnacentral:rRNA from 1 species
ACACCACUUUUUUACACAAUUGCACAGAAAGUGUAGAUAAAGGGAACCCCCAGUGCCAGUGGAAACGCUGGCUUUUUGCGAGGGUAAGUACCUCACAGAAUAAGCAGUGGGCAAGACCGGUGCCAGCCGCCGCGGUAACACCAGCGCUGCAAGUGGGAGUCGCGAUUAUUGGGCCUAAAGCGUUCGUAGCCGGUUUGGUCAAUUCUCUGUUAAAUGCUCGGGCUCAACCUGAAAAAUGCAGAGGAGACUGCCAAACUAGAGAUUGGGAGGGGUUAGAGGUAUUUCAGGGGGAGCGGAAAAAUGCUAUAAUCCCUGAAAGACCACCUGUGGCGAAGGCGUCUAACGAGAACAACUCUGACGGUGAGGGACGAAGGCCAGGGGAGCGAAAGGGAUUAGAUACCCCUGUAGUCCUGGCAGUAAACACUGUGGGGUUAAAUAUUGGGUUUCCGCAGGGACAUCCAGUAUCGUAGCGAAGGGGUUAAACCCCCCGCCUGGGGAGUACGGUCGCAAGAUUGAAACUUAAAGGAAUUGGCGGGGGAAAGGGCGAAUCCGUUUAAACCUGCAGGACUAGUCCCUUUAGGGAGGGUUAAUUCUGAGCUUGGGGUAAUCAGGGUCAUAGCUGUUUUCCGGA